GAUGAACGCUGGCGGCGUGCCUAAUACAUGCAAGUCGAGCGAACGGACGAGAAGCUUGCUUCUCUGAUGUUAACGGCGGACGGGAGAGUAACACGUGGAUAACCUACCUAUAAGACUGGGAUAACUUCGGGAAACCGGAGCUAAUACCGGAUAAUAUUUUGAACCGCAUGGUUCAAAAGUGAAAGACGGUCUUGCUGUCACCUAUAGAUGGAUCCGCGCUGCAUUAGCUAGUUGGUAAGGUAACGGCUUACCAAGGCAACGAUGCAUAGCCGACCUGAGAGGGUGAUCGGCCACACUGGGACCGAGACACGGUCCAGACUCCUACGGGAGGCAGCAGUAGGGAAUCUACCGCAAUGGGCGAAAGCCUGACGGAGCAACGCCGCGUGAGUGAUGAAGGUCUUCGGAUCGUAAGACUCUGUUAUUAGGGAAGAACAUAUGUGUAAGUAACUGUGCACAUCUUGACGGUACCUAAUCAGAAAGCCACGGCUAACUACGUG
rnacentral:rRNA from 1 species